CCGGCGCACGGGUGAGUAACGCGUAUCCAACCUGCCUUACACUCUUGGACAGCCUUCUGAAGGAGAUUAAUACAAGAUGUUAUCAUGAGUAAGCAUCUUCGCAUGAUUAAAGGUAUUUUCCGGUAGACGAUGGGGAUGCGUUCCAUUAGAUAGUAGGCGGGGUAACGGCCCACCUAGUCAACGAUGGAUAGGGGUUCUGAGAGGAAGGUCCCCCACAUUGGAACUGAGACACGGUCCAA
rnacentral:rRNA from 1 species